rnacentral:rRNA from 1 species
AGAACGAACGCUGGCGGCAUGCCUAACACAUGCAAGUCGAACGCUUUUGGGGCUUCGGUCCCAAAGGAGUGGCGCACGGGUGAGUAGCGCGUGGGAACCUGCCCUGUUGUGGGGGAUAACCGAGGGAAACUUCGGCUAAUACCGCAUACGCCCGGGGGAAACUCCGGGGAAAGAUUUAUCGCAGCAGGAGGGGCCCGCGUCGGAUUAGGUAGUUGGUGGGGUAACGGCCCACCAAGCCUGUGAUCCGUAGCUGGUCUGAGAGGAUGAUCAGCCACACUGGGACUGAGACACGGCCCAGACUCCUACGGGAGGCAGCAGUGGGGAAUAUUGGACAAUGGGCGCAAGCCUGAUCCAGCAAUGCCGCGUGAGUGAUGAAGGCCUUCGGGUUGUAAAGCUCUUUCGCACGCGACGAUGAUGACGGUAGCGUGAGAAGAAGCCCGGCUAACUUCGUGCCAGCAGCCGC